UCUCCAUGUCUCUACCGUUUCCAUCUCCUUUCUCUCUUCAUAUUCAAUAGGUUUAAUCUUUGGAAGGUUCUGAAACGAAACACAAAAUGGCAUCUUCUUCUAGAUCCCAAUCUGGGUUUUGUCCUCUCUCGUCGUGUUUAUCUCUCGAAUCGUAAACAGAGCACACAAGAUUUGUUAACCCGGACUUCGUUUCCUACUGUCUGGGGAGAGAUCGAAACUCUCAAGCAACUUCACUAGAAUCAGUAUAAAGUUCUGGUAACAACAAUACAAGUCUCGAUCUAAACACACCGGAGAAGACGCGCUGUUUGUUACCUCCGAAAUACACCACCGGUAAUCAGAUCCUGUUACAGUGACGUCACCGGAGUUUCUUCUACUCCAGUUCUCCGAUCAAUCGCUCAGUCACACCGAAGAAGAUAAUGUCGUUAGGCCAAUAUAACCGUCAAAACGACGUAGCAGCAAGAUUGGGCUUUAGUCAGUUUCGGCCCAAACGAAGAAGGCACUGUUGAUGGACUUUACGGAAAUGACCGGAGUCAAGCCCAAAACCCACAAAUCUCCACCUCUUGACUUCGGGCAAGGUUCGUGAAAGCCCCUCAGAAGUCUUCUGUCUUUUCUCUCUCUUGCCGCCGCUUUGCCCCUCCAUCUCUAUAGACGAGCUCUGACAUAAACCACUGAGAAAAACUCACCUUUCUCUGGUGAAACACUUCCCUGUUAACAAGCUUGAAGAACCCAGAAAAAAACACCACCACGUUUCCUUUCUAAGACCUGACAAACCAAAACUCAAAACACCCACGACGGAAGAAUCUCAGAUACUCUACCUGAAGCCACAGAACACUGCUGAACAAAGAAACAAUCGUUCACCGACGACUCCACCUUAACCCUCACCACCAGAGAUCGAUAUUGAUCUCUCCUUCUGUACGGAGUUACCCGGAGCCGAUCAUCAUCCUUAGCAGAUGUUGAGAAGUUCACAGCAGAGCUGUAACUUAGUACCAGGUUCACAUUUCGUCAGAAAAUCUGCAGUAUUC